rnacentral:rRNA from 1 species
UACGGAGGGUGCAAGCGUUAUCCGGAUUCACUGGGUUUAAAGGGUGCGUAGGCGGGUAGGUAAGUCCGUGGUGAAAUCUCUGAGCUUAACUCAGAAACUGCCAUGGAUACUAUUUGCCUUGAAUAUUGUGGAGGUGAGCGGAAUAUGUCAUGUAGCGGUGAAAUGCUUAGAUAUGACAUAGAACACCAAAUUGCGAAUGGCAGCUCACUACACAAAUGAUU